rnacentral:misc_RNA from 1 species
AUUCUCCAUUGCUCGAUAUGAGGCAGUCAUUGAUGCUUACUUGGAUGGACUUGAAGCUUCAGGUCUCAGCAACCUUUCUAGAGUAACAAGUGUUGCUUCCUUCUUUGUAAGUCGGGUUGACACCCUUAUUGACAAAUUGCUUGAGAAAAUUGGAACGCCAGAGGCCCUUGAUCUGCGAGGAAAGGCUGCAGUUGCUCAAGCUGCCCUUGCUUAUCAGCUCUACCAGAAGAAGUUCUCAGGCCCAAGAUGGGAGGCUUUGGUGAAGAAGGGUGCAAAGAAGCAAAGGUUGCUUUGGGCAUCUACAAGUGUUAAGAACCCGGCAUACCCCGACACCUUAUACGUUGCCCCACUCAUUGGACCUGACACUGUUUCAACCAUGCCUGACCAAGCUCUUGACGCAUUUGUUGACCAUGGAACCGUUUCAAGGACUAUCGAUUCAAACGUAUCCGAGGCCGAAGGAAUAUACAGUGCACUUGAGAAGCUGGGAAUCGACUGGAAUGAAGUUGGGAAUCAGCUUGAAGUUGAAGGAGUGGAUUCUUUCAAGAAGAGCUUCGACAGCCUGCUUAAUACUCUCCAA